rnacentral:lncRNA from 1 species
CCACAAGGGUUUGAAGUGAUUCCAAAGUGACUACACCAUAUUUCAACAUCAAAACUUAGUUCUAGUGAAGAACAACACCUUUUUGAGGUUGUGUUGUCAUUGAGGAUUGUUGUGGGCUGUAUUUGGAUGAAAUUCCAAGUUGUUACUGCUGUCUAAAGUGAGUAUAACAACCUACUGAUUGUGCUUAAGCUUGCUUGUAUGUUGGCUAAGUUGUUAGGAUGAUAAACUACAAGAUAAUACUUGGAUUAGCUUAAGUCACUUCUAUGGUGUUGUAUUGCUAUUAAGGGUUGUUGUAAACUGAAUAUAACUGGGAUUUUGACUUGAAGUUACUAUAGGAGGUAUUUAUAUUGUGUUCUUUCUUGUGCCUAAGAUUAUCUUGAUGUUGAUUAAGUUAAAUGGAUGGGCUAGACAUGAACUAGUGAAUAAAGUUGCUAGUUGGGGAUAGUUGAAGUUGUGGAUUAUUUUUGUUGUUAUAAAUAUAUGGUAUAAGGCUAGAAUCAUUGAUUAAUGACUUCAUUAUCAUGUUAAUGAUACUUUUAUAUUGAAGUAAGAAGUCUAUAAGGAUUGAUAAGGGGUAUACGGAUUCCAAUCGGAGCUUGUCGCUCGUCGUAAUGUAGUUGUGACUUGUUGUUGUUAUAUGGUGUCUUGAUAUUGAUAAUUAUGUAUUGAUGGAUUGCUCUGGUCAUUGUUGUUAGUAUAUGGUAUUGGAGGAGGCCCUUGUUACAAGGGAGAUGCUGCCCAAAUUUACGUAAAUGAACUACUAGCUUAAGUUAUAGACUUAGCCUUUGCUCAACACUGAUUUUGAAUCUCCUUAUACUAUGAUAGAUUGAGUUGACUUGUUUGAAGAGUUGCUUGGAAGGGAUUAAGGACUCAACGGGUUUAAGGUAUGUUAAGGAACUUACUUCUUUCUUUUGGCAUGAUCUAAAGUGACAUGAACAUAAACGGUACGCUAAUUCAUAACGGAUCUACUCCUAGAAACUAAGGUUGUCCAUGUUGUUCUUUCCUUAUAAAGUUAUUCUAAACAAGUGUGUAUGAUCCUUAAAUCCCACUAAGGUUCAUAUUGAUGGUAGGGAUGUCCAUAAUGUUAAUCGAAGGUGCAAUGACCUUACAUCACUCUGAAAAGGUUAGAACGUGAUUCCAUGAGUCGAGCAUGCAUUAUAUAUAUGUAUCUAUUUUACUCUACCGAGUCGCGCUAUAGUCGCCUGGGUAUGGCACCUAUUGUGAAACCUUUGAUCAGUUGGGUUUACCGAGCUCCACGUGGCCGGGUACGAUUCUACCGAACCUUAUGAUGGUCGGGUACACUUUUACCGAGUCCUCUUUGAGGCCGGGUACGAUAUGAUGAUGAUGAUGC